AGUUCAUAAUACUCAGUCCAUUUGACACCAGCUCCAGACGCACGCAGAUGCUCUACUCCACCAUGUCUCAGUACGUACUCACUCCACCACACGGCUCGCUCCAGCGGCUUCUGAGUUCAACAUUAAACCAUUGGUCUCCUAGCAUCGGUACACCGACAAGAGGAACUCCGGCAGUAAUUGCUUCAUCCGUAGACUUGGCAAUGGAAACUACUGCAAGAGCAGCUAACAGCAGUAACACCAGCUCAAGCUCGUAGUACUCGGUCCAGCUGACGCCCGCACCGGACGCGCGCAGAUGUCGUCCGCCGUGACGCAGCACGUGCUCCGUCCACCACACGGCGCGCUCCAGCGGCUUCUGGGGUUGGUCGUUCAUAAUGUUGCUCAGCUUUGCUAUGUUUUCACGGAAACUGUAAAAAUAAAAAAGAAAUCAGAAAA